CAGUUCAACCGAUUUUUCAAACAUUAAGGGCUUGUUUGGUUCAAUGGUGGAAUUGUAAUGUGUAAUGGAAUGGGAAUGAAUUAGAAUGGUAAUUGGAAUGGCCCAAUCUCCCAAGACGUUUGGUUUAUUUGUGGAUUGAAAAUUGGAAUGAGUUAUUCACAUUUCAUUGUUUGGUUCGUAUAAACUAAAAAAAUUAUAUGAUACUAUAAUGCUAAUUUUACUUUCAAAUAUAAAUUUAUAUUAUUUAAAAUUUAUGAAAAAUAUAAUACUAUUCUCUAAUAAGUUUUUCAAAAAAAAUAUCAAAUUUAUUUUUAAAAUUUUUUAUUAAUGUGGGUUAGGAAUAGGGUUUUGAGAGAGAAUAGAUUUUUUUUUUUUUUUUUUGAUGAGAAAGGGGUGAAGAGAAGGAGGAUGAGAUGGUCACAUGGGCUUCAAGAACUUAGUGGGCUUCCGGAAUGAAAUCUCAAUCCGGGCUAGAAGACCGGAAUCAAAUUGAAGGCUAAUGGGCCAUUCCUAUUCCAGUCUGGAAUAGGAAUCCCAAACCGAUUCAUGCGAACCAAAUAAAAUUAACCGGAUUUGGUCAAACCGAUUCCCAUUCCAUACCCAAAAUAGAUGAACCAAACAAACCCUAAUGGUAAGUUAUUUCCGUAAGGUCUCAUUAUUACCGAUUUUACUAACAUUAAUGGUAAGUUAUUUCUGCAAGGUCUCAUUAUUUAGUUAGCUGAGCAGUCAACAAUCAGCCUGAGCUUUCUUGGAUGGUGAAUAGGGCUGGCAAAUGAGCGAGCCGGCUCGUGUUCGACUCGCGUUCGGCUUGAUAUUCAGCUCGUUCGAGCUCGGCUCGAAUUAAUUUCAAGCCGAGCUUGAGCCUAAAUUUAGACUUGAAAUUAAUUUCAAGCCGAGCUUGAUUAUAUAUAUAUAGAGAGAGAGAGAGAGAGAGAGAGAGAGAGAGAGAGAGAGAGAGAGUUGGACAGAGCUACUAUUAUUAGCAAAUCCUAUUAUUGCUAUCAGUUUUUUAGUCUUUGGAUCAACUCUUUUUAUUAUUUCUAACCAUUGGAUUAAAUACUAUAACCCAGUGGGAACCACUCAACCCUAGGGGGACCAUUCAACUCUAACCGACUAAUAUCAUCCUGAUCCUACAAUUUUUCAUCCAAGGGUUAAAAACUUGAUAGCAAAAAAAAUGUUUUACUAUUAAUAGUAUUCCAGCCUAAUUCUAUAUAUAUAUAUAUAUAUAUAUAUAUUAGUCUACUAUAUUAUUAAUAGUACCGACUACUUGCUAUUAGGUUUUCGGCUAUUGGAUGAAGGGAUGUGCGGUUAGGAUGAUAGUGAUCCUUUAGGAUUGAGUUGGUGGUUAGUUGAAUAGUAUGAUCUAUCAUGUGGAAAUGGUCAAAGGAGUAGAUCUAACGGCACAAAAUUCGAUAGUACUAAGCAUUUGGUACUAUCGAUAAUAUAGUAGCCGGACUCUAUAUCUCUCUUUAUAUAUAUAGUUCGGCUAUUCUACUAUCUAUAGUACCAAUCGUUUUGUGCUAUC
rnacentral:lncRNA from 1 species